rnacentral:rRNA from 1 species
UACGAAGGGGACUAGCGUUGUUCGGAAUUACUGGGCGUAAAGCGCGCGUAGGCGGAUCGCUAAGUCAGGGGUGAAAUCCCAGGGCUCAACCCUGGAACUGCCUUUGAUACUGACGAUCUGGAGAUCGGGAGAGGUUGGUGGAAUUCCGAGUGUAGAGGUGAAAUUCGUAGAUAUUCGGAGGAACACCAGUGGCGAAGGCGGCGAUCUGGACAGAUAUUGACGCUGAUGUACGAAAGCGUGGGGAGCAAACAGG